UAGAAAUGCUAAGCCUGCUUGCCCUAAC
rnacentral:piRNA from 1 species